rnacentral:rRNA from 1 species
AUUGAACGCUGGCGGCAGGCCUAACACAUGCAAGUCGAACGAGGCGCGCACGGGUGAGAAAUGUCGGGGAAACUGCCUGAUGGAGGGGGAAAAAUACUGAAAACGGUAGCUAAUACCGCAUACCAUCAGAUGUGCCCAGAUGGGAUUGGCUAGUGGGUGGGGUAACGGCUCACCAAGGCGACGAUCCCUAGCUGGUCUGAGAGGAUGACCAGCCACACUGGAACUGAGACACGGUCCAGACUCCUACGGGAGGCAGCAGUGGGGAAUAUUGCACAAUGGGCGCAAGCCUGAUGCAGCCAUGCCGCGUGUGUGAAGAAGGCCUUCGGGUUGUAAAGCACUUUCAGCGGGGAGGCGUUACCAGCAGAAUAAGCACCGGCUAACUCCGUGCCAGCAGCCGCGGUAAUUC